rnacentral:rRNA from 1 species
UACAGAGGGGGCAAGCGUUGUUCGGAAUUACUGGGCGUAAAGGGCGCGUAGGCGGCUUGUCACGUCGGGUGUGAAAGCCCGGGGCUUAACCCCGGGUCUGCAUUCGAUACGGGCUAGCUAGAGUGUGGUAGGGGAGAUCGGAAUUCCUGGUGUAGCGGUGAAAUGCGCAGAUAUCAGGAGGAACACCGGUGGCGAAGGCGGAUCUCUGGGCCAUUACUGACGCUGAGGAGCGAAAGCGUGGGGAGCGAACAGG